AUUGAACGCUGGCGGCAGGCCUAACACAUGCAAGUCGAACGAGUGGCGGACGGGUGAGUAAUGUAUGGGAAACUGCCUGAGGGAGGGGGAUAACUACUGGAAACGGUAGCUACUACCGCAUACCAUCGGAUGUGCCCAGAUGGGAUUGGCUAGGUGGUGGGGUAACGGCUCACCAAGGCGACGAACCCUAGCUGGUCUGAGAGGAUGACCAGCCACACUGUAACUGAGACACGGUCCAGACGUCUACGGGAGGCAGCAGUGGGGAAUAUUGGACAAUGGGCGCAAGCCUGAUGCAGCCAUGCCGCGUGUAUGAAGAAGGUCGUCGGGUUGUAAAGUACUUUCAGCGGGGAGGCGUUACUCGCAGAAGAAGCACCGGCUAACUCCGUGCCAGCAGCCGCGGUAAUUC
rnacentral:rRNA from 1 species